rnacentral:rRNA from 1 species
UAAAUUUGAAUUUAGUUUAAGUUUAAGUAAAAUAUUUAUUCUGCAUAAAAAUAUAAGUAUAUUUAUUAAUAAAAUUAAAAUUUAGCAGAAAUUUUUAAUAAAAAUAAGAAAUUAUUUAUUAGUUAAAAAUUUUUAGAUUAGUUAAAAUUAGUGCCAGCUUCUGCGGUUAAACUAUAAAUCUAUAUUAAAUACAAAUAACUUUAAAUAAAUAUUUAUUUUGUAAAACUUAUUUUUUAUAAUGUAUAAAUAAUAAUUAUAAAUUUUACAUUUUAUAUUAAUUUUAAAAUUAUUGUAAUAAAAUAGGAUUAGAUACCCUAGUAUUGAUAAUUUAUUAUAAAAGUUUGUUAUUAUCUAAUAAUAUAGUAAAACAAAAAAUUUUGGCGGUGUUUAAAUAAAUAGAGAAGUUUGUAAUUUAAUCGAUAAUCCUCGUUUGAUCUUACCUUUAUUAAAUUUAUUUACAAUCAUUUUAAAUCAUUUUUUAAAAGAUGGUUAAAAAAUUAUAUAGAUAAUAAUUUAGAUAAUUGUAUAGUAAUAUAAAGGUUUUUAUGAACUGCAAUAAAUAAAAAUUUUAUAAAAUAAAUAAUUUUAAUUAAUCAAGAGAAUUUAUAAUUAAAAAAAAAUUAAUAUUUUUUUUUGAAAUAAUAAUAAAACAUGCACAAAUCGCCCGUCGCUCUCUUUAUAAAAGAGAUAAGUCGUAACAAAGUAAAAUUAUCGGAAGAUAAUUUUAGA